GACGAACGCUGGCGGCGUGCUUAACACAUGCAAGUCGAACGAAGGGCGAUGGAAGCUUGCUUCUAUCAAUCUUAGUGGCGAACGGGUGAGUAACGCGUAAUCAACCUGCCCUUCAGAGGGGGACAACAGUUGGAAACGACUGCUAAUACCGCAUACGAUCUAAUCUCGGCAUCGAGAAAAGAUGAAAGGUGGCCUCUACAUGUAAGCUAUCACUGAAGGAGGGGAUUGCGUCUGAUUAGCUAGUUGGAGGGGUAACGGCCCACCAAGGCGAUGAUCAGUAGCCGGUCUGAGAGGAUGAACGGCCACAUUGGGACUGAGACACGGCCCAGACUCCUACGGGAGGCAGCAGUGGGGAAUCUUCCGCAAUGGACGAAAGUCUGACGGAGCAACGCCGCGUGAGUGAUGACGGCCUUCGGGUUGUAAAGCUCUGUUAAUCGGGACGAAAGGCCUUCUUGCAAAU
rnacentral:rRNA from 1 species